CUUCCUUUGCAGUGGUGGGGGGUGGGGGAUCGUAUUUCAGGGAUUUUCAGAUUAUAAUAUCUGCUUUUACUCAAAUAUAUUUUGGUUUGAUUUUCUGCACUUAUAUUUUAAAGCUUUAGUCUACUGUUGGUGAUAAACUGUGUUGUUAUAAGUCAUACUAGCCAUACUAUCCAGUAUUAUAUGGUAUAUGCAAUGAAACCAUUAGGAGCUGCAGCAUUGAAAGGAUACACAUGAAUACAUUUAUAAUUAUGAUCAGUUAAUAUCAUGUGUAUUUUGUAUAUAAAUAAUAUGUAUAUGUUAGUCUGACAAGCAUCACUCCACAUAAUGAGCACUUUUACUUUCGGCACUGGACAACAACCACAGAUAAACAGACUUCAUGUAGUUAAAGUACACAGUUUGCCUCAUGCUAUGCUCAGGACAGUAGGAGCAAACAGUUCCUAUUGCAACAACACUUUUUUUUUUUUUUUUUUUUGUGGGAGUAGAUCAUCCAGGAGAACACUGGACAGUCAAUCAGCAGGUGGAGUUUUCCUCACUCCCAGCUGGAUCAUUGCUGCUCAGACCGAGGCUUGCACUACGGCAGCAUCAGCUCUCCUUUUUAUUAAUGGCAUGACCAUGACCAUGACAUGCCCCAGCUCAGGUAGCUCCGGCACCAUCUCUGACAUUCUGAUAAAGGUCAGUGUGAUAAAUAAAAUAAAAUGAAGCUAAAUGAAGCUUUUUUUUUUUUUUUUUUUUUUUUUUUUUUAAGAGCAUCCAAGACCCAAAAUAGAAUUAUUAAGUACCACAUUCCAGGAUUUAUUCCAUCUCAUGAAGACUCUCAACAAUGUUGAGUAUUUGAGAACUGAAAUGUAAUUUUCUCUCCAACCCUGUUACCUACUCUUGGUUUCAUUAGAAGUGAAUAGUGCCACAGUCUCAGUCUCCCCGCUCUGUCACUGACACACACGCACACAUACUGAUCCACUAAUUAGAGUUGGUCUUUUCAUAAACUCAACAUGUUGAUAUCAUCUGAUCAAGCAGACAUCAAAGACUUUGUAAUCACAUGCCAGACUCUCUGAGCACACCAAGCUGUAAAUAUUUAAGAGGAUAUCAAACUUGACUCACUUAUUGAGUUGAAUGAGCUCAAAGUCCUAGUUUCUAACAUUUUAAAGUGUGCAUUCCAAGUUAGCAUAAGUCUGUAAGGACAUAUUUUGUUAUGUAAUAAGAAGAAGAAUAACAGCACAGAAUAAAGUAUGUGCUCAUUAUGUGCUGAAAGACAUUUGUGUUGAAACACCAUCUGCUGGAUUGAAUGAGUCCAUC
ensembl:lncRNA